ensembl:lncRNA
GAGUAGACAGCUGUUGUGACUCACCAAGCAGGAAACUGACCCCUAUGCCUGGACAGAGGGCGACUGGUUUUGCUCAGUGCCGGCUCAGUUCAAUGAUCGGGCUCCCCUGGACCAGGCUGUGGGCUAAGUGAGGCAGGUCUCAUCAUGCCUUAAGGGAAUCAGGUUAACGGGAGUGGCUCUGGUCAGGACCAAAUGAAGAGAGGCGCUCUUGUUAGGAUGAAACGAUUCUGGCUUGUAGUACUGAGACAAUGGCUAUACUGAAUUCCCCUACACUGACCACCCUAGCUGAAACUGUCUCACUCGACUUAGCAGCUAAAUGACCUCGCAUUCUGGCACAGGCUAGUGACUGUAGCCUUUUGCCGUAGUCUAUCCUGCUGGAAGUGCCUAAACACUGCGUGCCUUGACACUGCAAACCAGCACCCUAUCCCGGCUCCUCUCCAAUUCAGUAGGAAGCUUAGGGGCAGAUGUGGACCAGGCGAUCACCCCCGAGAGAACACAGUCCUCAGUGGUUCAGUGGAUGCGGCCGUAGCUCAGAGAGUUGCUGGCAGUGGGAAGGUGCAUACACAGGGCAGUGGACCAGGGACCACAGGAAAUCCACCACCCGGUCCGCGGGGAUCGCGGCAGUGCUUCGGAAGGCCAGCAGAGGGCAGCACUGCGAGCAGAGGGCUCUGGGGCGGGGCGAGGCUCCGUGCGCAGGCCCACGGGAGCCCCCAGGAUUGGAUGGCACCGAUCUCGCCCGGCCUGAAGCUCCCGCGUGAACCCAACCGGCAAGGGAGGGGGCUGGAGGCGGGCGGGGCGGUUGGGGCAGGCGGGGCGGGGCGGGGCAGGUCCAGGUGAGGAGGGCCGCGGGGGCCAGGUGGGACGCGGGGGAGGGCAGAGGGGCUGCUGCACAGGAGCGUGCGGGCAGACUUGGGUCCAGCCAUGGUCUUGAGAGGAAGAUGCCGCUGGUGCCCACUGAAGAGUGGACUGUGGCCCCAGCCACCACAGGGAGGUCUUGGGGCGGGAUUCGGGCAGGCCCUGGGCAAAGUGAGGUCAGGGGCCGCUGAGUCCUUGGGGGAAGACAGCCUGGGCAGUGUGAGGCCCAGCUGCGCUGUGACGUGUCACGGGUCCUGUGUGUCACAGGUUUGGGGCAGGAGUCACGUUGGUUCCGUGGUAAAGAAAGGCGUUGAACUCUCGCUGACGAGCGUGGAACCGCUGUGAUUGGUGAGAAGCCAUGAUCGGGUCUUAGGACAGUUUUUGCUCCCUGGGCUGGGGCGGUUUGGAGGCCAAGAGCGCCAUUCUCACUCAAGGAUUAGUGAGGCUUGUAGGACUUAGGGAGAAACAGAGCAUUAAUUCAUGAUUAAUUCCACAGGUAUUUUUGAACACCUCCUGUGUGCUAGGACUUUGCUAGAUGAACAGCGUCCUUGCCUUCAUGGAAUUAUAUUCCAGGUGGGAGAGAGCCACUCAAGGCUGAGUUUUGGGUUUUGCCUUGCCUCCUUUUGCCUUGCUAUUUAAUGAGAUGGGAGAAUGCUGUAAGUGGAUGGAAUCAAAGAUUUUUUGAAUAUAUUAUGUUGAGACUCCUAACAUAAUAUGUUAGGGUUAUGUUGGGGUUUUUCCCCAACAUACAACAUAUGAACUAUAUACUUGGAAGGAUUUUACAGUGAAUUUUACAGUGAAUAUGCUUACCACCUAGACCCUAUUAUUAUUUAGCCAUGCUUGUUUUUCAUCUCUCUGUCCUCUAUCUGUCAAUCACCUGGUAGAUUUUUUUAAUUGUGGUAAAACAUAUAAUAUAAACCACCUAGUAGAUUUUUAAGUUGGUAUGUCAGAUAUGCCAUUGGAAAUUUAAGUCUAAAGUCCUAGGGGAUUUUAGGGCUAGAAUUGGUCUUUGGAAUCAUUAGCACAUAAGUGGUAUUUAGAUUAAAGGACUAAGUGAAACCACGUAGGUUGAGAGUGUAGAUAGAGAAGAGGAAGGGAAGCCAGNNNNNNNNNNNNNNNNNNNNNNNNNNNNNNNNNNNNNNNNNNNNNNNNNNNNNNNNNNNNNNNNNNNNNNNNNNNNNNNNNNNNNNNNNNNNNNNNNNNAAGUGGUAUUUAAAUUAAAGGACUAAGUGAAACCACCUAGGUUGAGAGUGUAGAUAGAGAAGAGGAAGGGAAGCCAGAGGGAGAUGGUGGUCAUCCAUGGUGAAUACACGAGAAUAGUUUGGCAAUUAAGAGGAUUUUCAUCAUUUUAACAAUAAAAACUUUGGUAGAGUAGAGGGGUCUUAAAGUCAGGUGGAAUUUUCUUUUAAGAUAGGGGAAACUAGAAUAUGUUUAUGUGGUAGUGGGAUUGAAUUCAGAAAAAGGGGAAAAUGGGAACAUUUCAGGGGAAGUACUUGAAUACCUCAGAGAGGAGAGCCCAGUGCUGGUGAGCAGUUGGCUUUGAAAUGAAUAGGAACAUAUAUUCCAUUGUAUCUAGAGGGGAAGCUGAGGAAAGUACAGAUGCAGACAGGUGGUAGAGGCACCAUCUGUCUAUGAAGGCAGCCACUGGCUGAGAGUAAGGGCAGCGGGGGAGAGGAGAAGAGGCGUUAGGAGAUACCUGUGACAUAGCCCUUCUGGAGAGUGGGAAAGUGAACUAAGGGAAAUGGAAUUGGAUUGCUAGGCAGCGCU